UACAGAGGGUGCAAACGUUGUUCGGAUUUACUGGGCGUAAAGCGCGUGUAGGCUGCUUCGCAAGUCGGAUGUGAAAGCCCUGGGCUCAACCCAGGAAGUGCAUUCGAAACUGCAGAGCUGGAGUCCUGGAGAGGAAGGCGGAAUUCUCGGUGUAGAGGUGAAAUUCGUAGAUAUCGAGAGGAACACCGGUGGCGAAGGCGGCCUUCUGGACAGUGACUGACGCUGAGGUGCGAAAGCGUGGGGAGCAAACAGG
rnacentral:rRNA from 1 species